GGCAGCUCUGGGGUCCCCUCUGCUCGCAGCCGCAGCAGCGCCGCCUGCGCCACUCGGCGGAGACGGAGACCAGCGGCGGGCGACGCGCGGAGCGGCAGCGGCGGCCGGGCGGCCGGGAGACGCUCGCACGGCGGCAGGUGCUGGGAUUCAACCCAGGGCCUUGCUCAGACAAGGCAUAGACUUUCCCCCUUGAGCCACAUUCCCGGCCCAGACCUGAAUUUUAAUCUUGAUGGAAGUUCUCAAGUGAAUCUAAGAGCCAGAGAGUCCAAGAAGGUCAGUGGACACAUGACUGGCUUCCUGAACAAAACCCCAAGGGCCCUGGAGGAGGAACAGGAUUUGAGAUCAGAGUUUGGUUUUGCAGACGCUGAAUCUGAAACACCUAGCUGUUUCCAGGGGAGCUUUGAAAGCAUGAGAGAGAAGAGUAGGAGGCCAGAGGAAAGGUAAGGUUGGAAGAGGGCAAGAGGAAAGGAGGGGUUCCAGUGACUCCCCCACCGACACACACACUAUAAUAAAUCACGUCCUCCACUCCGGUGGCCUGGUCCCUUUUUGGCAGCGCGCACUUACUGGUUUCCUGCAGGGAGAGCCUCAGAGGGGAUGGCCAAGACAUGGCCAUGACUGCCAGGGAUCUGAUGGCAGGAGCGUCUCCCCGCACUCCAUGAGCCUGGGAGGCCCACCUCCUCUGUCCCCUCCCAGAGACUACCACGGGCUUUCCCUGCUGGGACACCUGUGAUGGUAUCAUAUGACUGCUCUCACUUGAGGGCAACUCUGACUGACUGACUGGAGUCUGGGCAGCAGGAACAAGCUGCCCCCUGCAGCUGUCUCCUGCCCAUCCUGACCUUGCACCCCCUCUUACUGAAGGCUGUGCCCUUAGGGUCUUAGGGAACAGAAACCUAAGGCUGGGGAUCGAGGCGUGGGGCCCUAUGGGGGUUCAGCGGCAGGUGCAGUGGACCCCUCACGGUCUAUUCCCUGAACUUUCGUUUCUUUUUCGUUGUUUUCUUUUUUUUUUAACUUUUUUUUUUUUUUUUUUGCUUUUUGGGUCACACCCAGCGAUGCACAGGGGUUACUCCUGGCUCUGCACUCAGGAAUUACUCCUGGAGGUACUCAGGGGACCAUAUGGGAUGCUCGGAAUCGAACCCUGGUCGGCUGCGUGCAAGGCAAAUGCCCUACCCACUGUGCUAUCGCUCCAGCCCCUCUUUUUUUUUUUUUUUUAAACCAGACCUGGCGAUGCUCAGGGGUUACUCCUGGCUCUGCAUUCAUGAAUUAAUCCUAGUAGGCCUCAGAGGACCAUAUGAGAUGCCGGGGGUCAAACCGUGCAAGGCAAGCACCUUACCCGCUGUACUAUUGCUCCAGCCCAAAGCCUCCAUUCUUGCACAGGCCCCAACCCCACUGUGGAUUGAACUGAAAGCUGGUGCUGGCCCGGUUCCCCUGUCUGCACUUCCCCAGCACUGGUCAGCCAAUGUUUUCCUGCUCUUUCUCCACCACACAAGCCACACUUGGGUUGCAGGGGGACAGUCCUGCCCUGCCAGCAGGCCUCCAGGGCCUCGGGCCUGAGACAGCUGUCAUCCUGAUGGAGCCUUGUGGCCAGCUUUGCUACGGCCUCGGUCUCGGUCACUUGUUUGCCUGCUCCCUCCCCAGCCUACCACCCUUCCUGCUUACUGUGCAGUGCCCAGAGGGUGCCAAGCGCUGCCAGCCCACCCCCACCGGCACAGCCGGGAUGAGCCACCUGCGUCCACACACAGGUGUUUCCUGUGUGCUUCCUGUUGCCGUUUCUUUUCUGUGCAGCCUGGCUUCCCCAGCAGGUGGUUAAGGGCCGAGCCAAAGCGCUUCAUCUGUAGCUCCAAACCACGGGGGGUGGGGGAGGGCUCCCUGGGGCUCUGGGUCACCCCCCAGGGGGGAACUGCCGGCUCAUCAUUGGCUCUUCCUGAGGGCGGAUGCACACAGUGUCCCUAGUGUGUCACGCUGUUGUGUAACCGUCUCAGGACACCAGAGUGGGUUUAGGGAGCAGGGGAGGCCCCGCCCGCAGUCCCCUUUGCCCCUCGAUAAUAAAAGUUCUGGAGGGAGAGGGAAGGGGGUGCUGUUACUCCAGUCUGGGGCGUAGGCCUCCCUCCCGAUUUCCCUAGAAUGCACCUGCCAGCCCCAACUCCCACCGGCCCUCAAGUUCCUCCCCCAGAAUUUAGAGGCCUGUGUGAGCCUAUCCCCUCAUCAGACAGUUCUCAGGGGACACCAGCCCUAUCCCCGGGGCCCAGUUCUUACAGCGGCCGCCACAGGGUUCGGACAGGCUUGUUAUCACUGAGGAGAUGCUGCUUAGGGUCACAGGCCAGCCCUCGUGUGUCCUGCCGCCCAGGUUCCUGUCAGGUCAUUCUCUCCCGAGAGAAUGCAUCCCGUCUCUCACCACCCUGUUCUCAGCCAGCGUCUUCCCAGGUCAGAGGUAGCACUGGGGUUAAGGCCAUGCCUUGCACACAGUCCUGCAUCCCCAGCAUGGCAAGGUUUGAGCUGCACUGUAUCCCUGGACCCUUGCAUUGAACCUCUGGUGGCCCUCUGUAGGGGAGAACUGUCAGGAGGGAUCCCCCGGGCCUCCUUGGGAAUAACCUUCCACCACCACCACCACCUCCACACACUUCCCGCCAAUCUCCGGGCAAAAAAAAAAAAAACAGCUUCUUGGCCCUUAGCCCCCUCUAGAGGAAACUUCCCUGGCAGAAGCUUGGCACGAUGGCGUUCUGCUGCCCCCUGCUGGCCCUUGGUUCCGGCCAUCUGCCCUCCGUUUCAAACCACUUCCGUCUGUCCGUCUUUGGGGGGCCUGGAAGUGCUGGGCAGCUGCUCUCUGGACUGUCACCUUUAGGGCCUUCUCGCGGCCAAGCCACGCAGCUGGGCUUCAGCCUGGGCCCACGGUUCCCAGGCCGAUGGCCAAAUCCAGCCUCCUGGCUGAGCUGCCUCAGCAGCACCCCACCCGCUUCUCCACAUACAGUUCCAGCCUCUGAGCU